CCUACGGGUGGCAGCAGUGGGGGAUAUUGCACAAUGGGGGGAACCCUGAUGCAGCGACGCCGCGUGGGUGAAGGAGCGUUUCGGCGCGUAAAGCCCUAUCGGCAGGGAAGAAGGAGGACGGUACCUGACUAAGAAGCCCCGGCUAACUACGUGCCAGCAGCCGCGGUAAUACGUAGGGGGCAAGCGUUAUCCGGAUUUACUGGGUGUAAAGGGAGCGUAGACGGCAGCGCAAGUCUGGAGUGAAAUGCCGGGGCCCAACCCCGGAACUGCUCUGGAAACUGUGAAGCUGGAGUGCAGGAGAGGUAAGCGGAAUUCCUGGUGUAGCGGUGAAAUGCGUAGAUAUCAGGAGGAACACCGGCGGCGAAGGCGGCUUACUGGACUGUAACUGACGUUGAGGCUCGAAGGCGUGGGGAGCAAACAGGAUUAGAUACCCCUGUAGUC
rnacentral:rRNA from 1 species